GAGUUUGAUCGUGGCUCAGAUUGAACGCUGGCGGCAUGCUUUACACAUGCAAGUCGAGCGGCAGCGCGGGGGCAACCCUGGCGGCGAGCGGCGAACGGGUGAGUAAUGCAUCGGAACGUGUCCCGUAGUGGGGGAUAACCCGGCGAAAGCCGGACUAAUACCGCAUAUGCUCUACGGAGGAAAGCGGGGGAUUCGCAAGAACCUCGCGCUAUGGGAGCGGCCGAUGUCCGAUUAGCUUGUUGGUGAGGUAAUGGCUUACCAAGGCGACGAUCGGUAGCUGGUCUGAGAGGAUGAUCAGCCACACUGGGACUGAGACACGGCCCAGACUCCUACGGGAGGCAGCAGUGGGGAAUUUUGGACAAUGGGGGCAACCUUGAUCCAGCCAUGCCGCGUGCGGGAAGAAGGCCUUCGGUU
rnacentral:rRNA from 1 species